CAGUGUUGAGACGAAAUUCGACUCUCGAGUUAGAAUGCCCUCGAGCUGAUUGAUACCAGAACAAGUAAAAAAUAAGGCAAGCUAAUGAACAAGAGAAUAUAAGCCAAAAGAGUGUUAUAUUGCUUUGAUAUGCGUGAAUGUAAGUCCCUUGCAAAUGAUUGGAACUCCUCUUUAUAUAGUAGAGGAAUUCUAAUUAUGAUAUAAUUCUAAUUGCAGAAGGAAAUCCCAUGAUUAGCUAAUUAACCGUCCUAGAUUUGAUCCGUUCUAAGAUUCUGCCAUGAUCUUCGACCAGUCACGGGUAUCUCGCAUUUAUGUUAUUAUGCUAUCUUCGAUCUUGCUCGAUGUCUGUCUCAUUUUGUCUCAAUCACUAUCGGCCUCGAUCUUGAUAGGUACCUCGAAUCUCAAACUCGGUACCUUGUCCUCAUGCCUCGAUCUGAUCUAUUACGGGAUCGAUCCUUCACACUUGUCUCGGUAAAUCGGCAAAUCGGGUGGGCCCGAUUUUAACCGUAUACAGUAUUUCCUGUAAAAAGAAAUUUUAGUAGGCAUUUGAAUAAUAAUUGAGUUGGAGCUGAAAAGAAAAGUAUUUGAAGUUUAAGUUGAAAAAUGAAUUGUAAAAUUGUAUUACGUUAUGAGACAUGAACUUCACUUUGGAAAAAUAAUUGUGAAGAAUGAGAUCUAUGAGGGGAAACUAACUUUUAUACUUGAAAUUCAAUUUCAAUUGAUUCAAAUACAGAAAUUCAAUAUUUGUAAGUACUAAAAUUGUAUAAUCAAAUGAGAUUGUCAACAUUUGUAUGGCUUAAAAAACCUCUAAGUAACAGUAAAUGAGAAAUUUAACGUCCAAAUUGUUUCAAAACAUAGAAUAUAUCAUCUUUUUGGGGCGGACUACUAAGCGAAUAGUGUCACACUAAUUAAAUAGGAGAAAUAUUAUUAACCAUGCUUAGGUCAUGUGGUAUAAAGAAAAGGACUUAAUUGUUACUUUUAUGAAACUUGUGUGGUUAGAAUUAAGUAGACUGCCCAAAAAAGAAAGAAAAUUCAGCAGAGGCAUGAAUAGGCAGACAUCAUGUGAGUUAUUUAUGGGGAUAACAACUCCCGCACACAAAGUACAACAAAUUAUAACAUACUAUAUACAUACACACACUGUCCUCGUCAAUAUAAUAAAAGAGGUCAGAGUUCAGAAAUUGACAUCAAAGGGACUGAAUUCAAAAAUUUAUAUAAUAAGUUGUACUGAAUUCAAAAAAUUUAUAAAAAUUGGUACUGAAUUCAAAAAAUUAUAGUAAUUGAUAAUGCUAUAUUUUGCUUCUCUCUGUUUCCUUUUCCUCUUCUUGCAAUGAGUCGAAUAAUUAUUGGUAUACAUAAGGUUUCUGAUUCAAAUUUCGGCGAAAACAAAAAUAUUAGGUGAUUUUUUUUCAUCUAUCUAAGUAUCAGUGAACAAAGUUAUUCGAUAUCUGUGCUGAUUAGGAUGCGUACAAGCUGAUCUGUACCCUAGGAUUAUUUAAAAGAAAAAGGGGGGGGGGGGGUUUCCCCAACUCUAUUGGAGAUUUCUUCCAACUCUCAUUGAACAACUACAGACAUCCCAACGGGCAUAAAUUGACAGCUGCUUCUAAUUUAUUUUCAGUUCUUCACCAAAUAAAGUGGUCAAAGCAAAUUAAAUUUAUUCAGUUCUUCACCAAAAGAUAAAUUAGUCAAGGCCAAUUAAUUGCAAUAUAGUCUGUACCUUGUUUACAUGGGUCUGUUUAUAAGUACUUAUCACUCUGCUAAGUGUUUGGAUAUGAGCAACUUUUUAUUAGAAUAAUUAAUCUUGUAGUUGAGGAAUCCAUACAAAGGAUAUGACACAUUCUAAUUAAUACCACACUCGACUAAUAUGUGUACGUUAAAAUACAUAUAAAAAAUAUCUUGUUGGGUGAAUUGUGACUUCGUACGAUUAAAUCGAGUGGUUAGAACUUACAAUCGCUUCAUCACAGUAUUUACUUAUGAGCUAACAUAACUAAAAUCCAAAAUGAUAAUUUUCAAAAGACAAGUGAGAGCCAGGAAAAGGUUGAAUCAAACUAGGCUAGAAAAAAAACAUUAUUGAGGAUUAGCACCAUUCAUAUGAAUCAUGUAAUAUAAGCGGUUUCUUAUGUACUAAUUAUAGCUUGACAUAAGAAAAGACAUUUGUACCUUAGAAAAAACGUACAAAGUGUGAUAAACUUAUGUGCAUAGAUUAUCAUGUGCUGUGGCCUCCACUGACAUACAAUGGUAUUUCUUUUUUUUUCCUGUUUGGUGAAAACAUGAAGGUAGAUUGGUCUAAGAAAGACAAGAAAAUUUGGCUCCUGCAGCUGAAAGUUAUGGAAUCUCAUCAUCUGUUAUAUUUUCAUGCAUGCAAUUAGGUGAUGAAAUUAUUCAUAAAGUGUGGCAGUUGAUAAGGUUGCAUCACAGAAACCGAAAUGUUACCAGAAUUAUUGUUGAAUCAACAGGUCUGUUGCAACUAAUUAUAACAUAGGAUAUUGUUUCUUUUAACCCGCAGACAUAAAGAAAC
rnacentral:lncRNA from 1 species